rnacentral:rRNA from 1 species
AUAAUUCAUAAAUCAAUGUAAAAAUAAAUUAAAAGUUUUUUAAAUUUUAAUAUCACCCCAAUAAAAUAUUAUAUAAUUUAAUAAUAAAAUAUAUCUAAAAAAUUAAUAAAUUAAUAAAUAUUAAGAUUUAUAGGGUCUUCUCGUCUUUUAAUAUUAUUUUAGCUUUUUGACUAAAAAAUAAAAUUCUAUAUAAAUUUAUAUGAAACAGUUAAUAUCUCGUC